rnacentral:misc_RNA from 1 species
GAUGAAGAACGUAGCGAAAUGCGAUAAGUAAUGCGAAUUGCAGAAUUCCAGUGAGUCAUCGAAUCUUUGAACGCACAUUGCGCCCUUUGGUAUUCCGAAGGGCAUGCCUGUUCGAGCGUCAUUAUCACCCCUCAAGCCCUCGGCUUGGUGUUGGACGGUUUGGUGGAGGCCCCCUCGGGGGCUCCUGCCCCUCCCAAAGACAAUGACGGCGGCCUCGUUGGACCCCCGGUACACUGAGCUCUUCACGGGACACGUAUCGGACACAUGGGUUUACGGGACACGGUCUGCCUCCCCUCAGGGAGAAUCUUUCUAAGGUUGACCUCGGAUCAGGUAGGGAUACCCGCUGAACUUAAGCAUAUCAAUAAGCGGAGG